CUAGGGCUGUGGAUGGUGCGCCACCUUCCUGGUUUGUUCCAACCUUCUUCUCAUGCCUGUGCUGGGUAGAGGGGACCAGGGGGAGGCCGGAAGUGAGGGCAGAAGGCCAGGUCAUGCCACCAAUAACCAGGGCCCAGAAUUCUUGGCCUGGGAUGGAGUCGGGACGGGAAGAGACGGAGCCUGCUCUUCCCAAGUCGUCGACUCUAACACCAAGCGCCAGGGAGUCUGAGAUUUCUGUGCUGGAACACGGACCACCUGGUUGUUAUGAAGGGACCCAGCGGGUCUUCUACCACCUGGAGCCCAGCUGGCGAAGGAUGGACAUCACUCCAGCCCAGGCCUCCUGUUCUGCUGUGAUCCGCCUCUCCUGGGCACCUGGCAUACACCGGCUGCUUACCUACUUACACGUCUGUUUUCUUGGGUUGACCAGUAGUCUGGUAAACUAGUUCACAUCAAUGCUUGUAGCAUCUACUUCCAGAGAACUUCUACAUUUCAUUUUUAUUUUUAUUUAUUUUCUUCCUUGUAGUUUCCAUAUUUUAUUUUCUCUUUGCUUGUAAUUUUAAUAUAGACAAAAGUAGGCAAUUGACAUAUUUGUUAGGACCACUCACCCAUGACCUGCAUAGAUUAUUUCUGAUUCUCACAACAUUCCUUUAGGUCAGUGUUAUGACUAGUUCAUAAAUGAAGAAAGGAGGCUUAGAAAAGUUAAGUGAUCCCCUUUAAGUAUUGUAUGAUACAAAGUGGGAUCUGGGCAGGUUGUGGGAAGGAGAAAUUGCAAGUAUACACUAAAAUGAGCCA